rnacentral:misc_RNA from 1 species
GUUUUUAUAAGUUUUUUACGCUUAUGUUACAAUAAUAAUACUGAAUUCUUUUGGUAAAUAAUAAUAGGAUACCAGGCCUAAGCCUGACUCUGACUCGAUUAACAUUCCUGCCGACCUAUCCUUAUGGUCAGCGAGACAUUUCUCAAACGCCAGAAAAUAAUACAGUUCACAGUAAAUUAUAGAAGAGUGUGGCUCGAAAGCCAACCUUCAAAAUUAUUUAAUGAUCCUUCCGCAGGUUCACCUACGGAAA